UGAAGAAGUAGCGGAUGAAUCGACACGUGCUUUGUUGUGCUUGUCUCCACAUGCUUCAAUGUAUCAUUUCCCUUGCCUUAUCUAUUCUUCUGGCAGAAUGUGGCAUAUGCUCGAGUUCCUCAGUUCGGACUCCUUCUGCUGAGUUGACUGUGCAUGCUGCAUUCUUCUCUGCUUGUUUCUUCAGGCAGAUGUGGCAGCUUCUCGAGUUCUUCAGCUCAGACUCAUUCUGCUGAGUUGACUGUGCAGACCGCAUUCUUCUCUGCUUGUUCCUUCUGCACGUUGUCUCCACAUGCUGCAAGGUAUCAUUUUCACUUGCCUUAUCUGUUCUCCAGGUAGAUGUGACAACUUCUUUGGAAGUACAGCAGCAGUGGGAGACGAGUACUCGAGAGCAGUGCUAGGUAGGCAAUCAGGGAAGGGUUCCAAGCAGUCGGUUCCUUACCCGAGUUUGAGUGGAGGUUUCGGCAUAUUGCUUUCUUUAUCCUUGUCUUUGCAGGUAAGAACAAGGACAAAGGAAAAGAUAGGGAGAAUGCAUGAUAUGAGAUACUCUUGCUUUCUACCCUGGUGAUAUGAGAUACUUUUGCUUUGGAGUCAUUGGCUUGCA
rnacentral:lncRNA from 1 species